rnacentral:rRNA from 1 species
CUACGGGCCGCUGCAGUGGGGAAUAUUGGACAAUGGGCGCAAGCCUGAUCCAGCAAUGCCGCGUGAGUGAAGACGGCCUUAGGGUUGUAAAACUCUUUCGCUAGGGAAGAUAAUGACUGUACCUAGUAAAGAAGUCCCGGCUAACUCCAUGCCAGCAGCCGCGGUAAUACGGAGGGGACUAGCGUUGUUCGGAAUUACUGGGCGUAAAGAGUUCGUAGGCGGACUGACAAGUUAGAGGUGAAAUCCCAGGACUCAACCCUGGAACUGCCUUUAAAACUGUCAGUCUAGAGACCGGAAGAGGUUAGGGGAAUACCUAGUGUAGAGGUGAAAUUCGUAGAUAUUAGGUGGAACACCAGUGGCGAAGGCGCCUAACUGGUCCGGUACUGACGCUGAGGAACGAAAGCGUGGGGAGCAAACAGGAUUAGAUACCCCGGUAGUC